rnacentral:lncRNA from 1 species
UUUAUGACUUACCUAGUGGAGCCUUUAUUUACAGAGUGGGCCAGGUUUUCAGACACGAGGCUGUCACAGACGAUGCUCGGACACGUGGGGCUGAAUAAAGCCAGCUGGAAGGGACUACAAAGACAACAGCCUAGCAGCGAGGAUGCCAGUGCUGCAUUUGAGUUGAACUCACAGCUAUUAACUCAGGAAAAUCGGUUAUCAUAACCCUGAACCAGUGGGACAACUUCCCUCCUGCAAGAUUGUGGAAAUGUGAAAUGGUCUUGAGUUGAAGAACUGGUUCUGACUGCUGAGGUUUCCAAGGAAAUGAUGUCAGCGUUAUUUAUCAAGAUUAUCUUCUGUUGGAUCAUUUGAGCCCAUUUUUUAAUAGGACAUGAAUAUAUAGCAAUAUGCAUCUGGCUUUUGUAUGAAACCUUAAGUAUGUAAAGCUCAGCAGGAGAACCAGAAAGGAUUAACAAAGGAAGAUGUUUUUAGGUGUGCCAUGUGCUUUCAAAGUGUGUAUUCUUCAAGCCCUGAAACUUGAACUCAACCUCAGCAGCAAUCUUGAUGCAACCAGUCCAAUCCAACAGCGCAUCUGUCCCUUCCACUACUCUGAGAAAACAGAAAUGUGAAGUGCCCAGCCUCUGCUGCCUCUGGCAAGAAUCAAUCAAUGUUUACAAAUCCAAUCUGAAAUAUUGGUUCUAAUUGCCUCGAGCAUUAUUGUGAAGGAACCACUGACCGUUCUCAGCUGAGCUGGAGACUGCAGCUCUUCGCAGCGUUUGCCUUUUCUUCUUUGGAUGUCAAUGUCAUCAACGCCUCCCACUUGUUUUGUUCUGUGCACUGGAGUCUGAGCAUUUACCACAGAUACCACAUGAAGCUUUUCACUCCAGGGCUGUUUGGCAAUGCAGAUUCCUUUUGUAACUAUUAGUUUUUAACCUGGGGUGGGAGGGAAGGGACACCAAUGUCCUAGCUGUGUUCUGACUCUGCAGUGAAGACACUGCAUGUUGUUUUCACUACUGUACACUUGACCUGCACAUGCAAGGAAAAGGUGGAAUGUUUAACAUGCCGUAUCAGCUCAGGGUACUUGCCAAUCAGAAAUAAAGUGGGAUAGGGAAGUGUGUCUUUCAAAUCAAGGGUACUAAAGGCCCUUCCGCUGCAGUGCGUGAGAGGUAUGUUGUGUACGGCUGUAUGGGUGUGUGUUUGCGCGCAUGUUUGUGCAUGUAUGGCUGUGCAUGUUCUGUCCAUCCGUGUGGGAAAGGAUUAGAAUUGUAAGCUUUUAUUUAUUGUUUUAGAAUGUGACAUAGUGAGCAGCCACACUUGGGGGAGGGGAAGGUAGGUGAAGCUGUAAGAUUGCUCCAGAUGCCUUAAACUAUGCACAAAGCUAAGUGACCAAACUUCUCAUUUUGAUUUGAAAAGUGCAUUGUUUUCUUGUCCCCCCUCCUCCACUUUGAUGAAAUGUUACCCUUUGGUGGAUCUUUUGAUGUGAAUAGAUGUUUUCUAGGGUAAAAUUUAAGGACUAAUUUUAGACUUAAACACUCCACUUUUGUAAUGUGUUUUCAGUGGUCUUAUGCAUAGCAAGCACAACUGUAACUAGUUUAAGAGAAACGGUGCUUUCUUUUAGUUAAUUUGUAUUGCCCUUGUUACUGUUAAAGACUGUUUAUUAUGUUUACAGUUUGUUGCAACAGCCAUCUUCUUGGGAGAAAACUUGAGUGUAAAGCCAUUUGUAAAAGGCUUUGCCACACUCAUUUAAACAUGUGCCUGUUGCUGUUACCUUUCGAUGAAUAAAAACUGGUCUUUUCUCAUUUUUUAUCUUUGCACUUUACCUCACCACUCAAUCCUUUGGAAAUCACAUGCUGAAUUACUUAGGUGAUCAGUUAGCUGUUUCCUCUUCCAUUCAGUCGUGGGUAAUCUUGUGGUCUAAGCUAUGUGCAGACUGUCUUCUGGAAGUGUGUGAAUGAGCCUUGCUCUGCACCCUGCAGGUGUGACAAGGCCUGGCUCAGUUUGAUCAGUCUUGCCUGCUGUGGAUGGUUCUUCAUAGCAUUUGUUGGGAAUUGCCUAAGAAAUCACACCCUUGAAGGGGAUAAAAAAAAUACCAGUCAGUUGUGUUUAUAUUCUUGGCCUUUUUAAAGCAAUGUAAGAAAUAGCCACUUAAUUCUUUUUUGGGGACAGGGUCCUAGGCUCAGAUAGCCUGGCAACAAUAUAGACAGGCUGGCCUCAACUCACAGAUACCUCCUUGCUUUUGGGUAUUAGUAUUAAAGGUGUGUGCCACCAUCCCCAAUUAAGAGUGGCCUUUCUACCCUCCCAGACAGACCUAAUCCAUUAGAAGGGAUACAGUUCAGAUUUUAAGAUCAGGG